UUUAGUUUUCGCACUCUAACUUUAGUAAAAGUGAAUGGAAAUCUAUGAAAUUUUAACACAAGGUUUAUGACCACAAAAGGAAGGUUGGUAUUGAUUUUUGGAGUUUUGGUCCCAACAUUUUAGGAAUUAGGGGCCAAAAAGGGCCCAAAUAAGCAUUUUCUUGGUUUUCGCACUAUAACUUUAGUUUAAGUUAAUAAAAAUCUAUGAAAUUUUGACACAAGGUUUAUGACCACAAAAGAACGGUUGGGAAUGAUUUUGGGAGUUUUGGUUUCAACAGUUUAGGAAUAAGGGGCCAAAAAAGGGCCCAAAUAAGCAUUAUUCUUGGUUUUCGCACAAUAACUUUAAUUUAAGUAAAAAGAAAUCAAUGAAAUUUAAACACAAUGUUAAUGACUACAAAAGGAAGGUAGGUAUUGAUUUUGGGAGUUUAGGUCCCAACAGUUUAAGAAUUAGGGGCCAAAAAGGGACCCAAAUAAGCAUUUUUCUUGGUUUUCGCACCAUAACGUUAGUAUAAGUAAAUAGAAAUCUAUGAAAUUUAAACACAAGGUUUAUGACCAUAAAAGGAAUGUUGGUAUCGAUUUUGGGAGUUUUGGUCCCAACAGAAUAAGGUGCCCAAAGGGUCCAAAAUUAAACUUUGUUUGAUUUCAUCUAAAUUGAAUAAUUGGGGUUCUUUGAUAUGCCGAAUCUAACUGUCAUGACUGUGUAUGUAGAUUCUUAACUUUUGGUCCUGUUUUCAAAUUGGUCUACAUUAAGGUCCAAAGGGUCCAAAAUUAAACUUAGUUUGAUUCUGACAAAAAAUGAAUCAGUUAGGUUCUUUGAUAUGCUGAAUCUAAAAAUGUACUUAGAUUCUUGAUUAUUGGCCCAAGUUUCAAGUUG
rnacentral:lncRNA from 1 species